rnacentral:tRNA from 1 species
GGGUAGCCAAAAGCAAUCGGCUCUUAACCGAUCGGUCGAGGGUUCGAAUCCCUCCGGGCCCG